UACGUAGGGUGCGAGCGUUAAUCGGAAUUACUGGGCGUAAAGGGUGCGUAGGCGGGUCUUUAAGUCAGGGGUGAAAUCCUGGAGCUCAACUCCAGAACUGCCUUUGAUACUGAAGAUCUUGAGUUCGGGAGAGGUGAGUGGAACUGCGAGUGUAGAGGUGAAAUUCGUAGAUAUUCGCAAGAACACCAGUGGCGAAGGCGGCUCACUGGCCCGAUACUGACGCUGAGGCACGAAAGCGUGGGUAGCAAACAGG
rnacentral:rRNA from 1 species